AACGAACGCUGGCGGCAGGCCUAACACAUGCAAGUCGAGCGAGGACUUCGGUCCUAGCGGCGGACGGGUGAGUAACGCGUGGGAACGUGCCCCUUGGUACGGAAUAGCCCCGGGAAACUGGGAGUAAUACCGUAUGAGCUCUACGGAGGAAAGAUUUAUCGCCAAGGGAUCGGCCCGCGUUGGAUUAGGUAGUUGGUGGGGUAGUGGCCUACCAAGCCGACGAUCCAUAGCUGGUUUGAGAGGAUGAUCAGCCACACUGGGACUGAGACACGGCCCAGACUCCUACGGGAGGCAGCAAUGGGGAAUCUUAGACAAUGGGCGCAAGCCUGAUCUAGCCAUGCCGCGUGAGCGAUGAAGGCCUUAGGGUUGUAAAGCUCUUUCAGCUGGGAAGAUAAUGACUGUACCAGCAGAAGAAGCCCCGGCUAACUCCGUGCCAGCAGCCGCGGUAA
rnacentral:rRNA from 1 species